CCAUCUCAGCACUGUACCUGGCAAAGAGCACAGGACCAGGAAGGAUAGAACCAACCAGUCAGACCAUGUCUCCACCCAAAGAGAGUCUGGAGCCAUGGGCAGGCGGCCCCAGGCAGAGCCCAAAGGAGAACCAGUGACGAUGGAAGCUGGGUGCCUCGGGCAGGGCACAGGAGCAGUACAGGGUGCUGCCCAGGCCAGGCCUUCGUCAGUGUCUCUGCCCGGGUUCUGGGGUCCCAGGACUUGGAAUUCAGCAGUUAUAGGAACCUCGGAAGAGCUGGGCUCCCCUUCACUGGUCUAGGGCCUAGCUGUCCCAUGCCACCCCGUUGUUCACUGACUGCUGGGAAUGCUUUGGGACCCAGGAGAAAGGCCAGGCCCCUUUGAGAGAAAGCUUAUAAGCUACGAGGGCCUCUGCUUCCUGAGCAGCUUUCGUCUUUGUGAGACUCCCCAAAGCUAAGGUCCUCAAAGGUGAUCCUAUGCUUGUUCCACAUCCUAAAUUCUACUCGCCACCUCU